GGCUGGGGCUCAGUGGUAGAGCACUUGCCUAGCACGUGUGAGGCACUGGGUUCGAUUCUCAGCACCA
rnacentral:tRNA from 1 species